GGAGAAGGAGAAGGAGAAGGAGAGGGACAGGAAACCAAUUCACGACGGAUUAAAGAAGACUUAAAGGCUUGCAUUUUUCGCAUUUGAUCAUGGAAAUGAUUUCCGUGAUCAUCAAGUGGAGAUUGCUCUCCAUGGACAUGGAUUAAGAAGAUAAUCAAGAAACAGAACAGAACAUUAUUUGUUUGCAUUCUUGGUUCCAUUCCCAUCUACAAUUACGUUCUUCUUCUCUCUUCUAAAGCAAAACC
rnacentral:misc_RNA from 1 species